AAUUAAAGUAUAUUUGUUUUUUUUAUCACAAUCUAUGUAGUCAGUAUGAAUAUAGAUUUCCGGACAGACAUUCUUAAAAUGCUACACCAACUGUCAAUAUUUUUAUUCCUAAGCUUAGUUGGUUAUACUUCUGGAGUGAAUUUCCUCUACAACUGUCGUUCUAUACAUGAUCCAAUUCCUAAAGUAAAUAAUAUGCAACUAGAUAUCAAGAAAUUAUCGUUUUGGGCCAAAUAUUUUGGUUUUACUUGUGAUUUUGAUACUUGAUGAUAUGCGCGACAUCACCCCAAGCGACUUAAUGAAUCUGUGAUUAUAAUAUUUUGUUCUGUA